GCUAUGCGCGCGUUAAAUAUAUAUAAAUAGGCGCUAGCUGGUUUAAUCACGGUUCCGUCACUAGUGCUUGGUUGCUUUGUUUGCGCUGGCAGCUAAUGUGCGUGCGUCGCCGGGACACGACGACGAAGAGGGAGGAUCGGAUCCAUCCAUGGGGGAAGCCGGCGGGGUUGUAACAAUAACCAACAACAAGCCCUGCCGCAGGCCGCUUCUCCUUGUCGUCGCUGUCCUCGUCGUCGUCCUCGUGGUGGGAAGCUGCUGCGCCGAGGCCGCCGCGGAUGAGACGAAGACGACCAUGAGCAGCAGCAGCAAGGGCGACCGCGGCGGCGGCAGGAGGAGGCGGAGGCGCGCCGAGGCGGCGGCGCCGCUGAUGGUGCCCAUCACCGUCCUCAAGUCCGCCGCCGACGCCGGAGCCGUGUGCAUGGAUGGAACGCCGCCUGCUUACCACUUGGAUCCUGGCUCCGGGGCGGGGAACAACAGCUGGAUUGUCAACCUUGAGGGAGGCGGCUGGUGCAACAACGCGAGGGCCUGCCAGUUCCGCAAGACGAGCCGCCGCGGCUCGUCGGACCUCAUGGAGAAGGAGAUCCCCUUCGGCGGCAUCAUGAGCAGCAGCCCCGCCGACAAUCCUGAUUUCUACAACUGGAACCGGGUGAAGAUCCGCUACUGCGACGGCGCUUCCUUCGCCGGCGAAGGCUUCGACAAGGAGAAUGGGUUUUACUUCCGUGGCCAGCGCAUCUGGGACGCCGUCAUCCGGCACCUCCUCUCCGUCGGGAUGGCCUCGGCAGACCAGGUGCUGCUCACCGGCUGCUCUGCCGGAGGCCUGGCGGUGGUACUCCACUGCGACGAGUUCCAGGCCUUCUUCCCGCACACCGACGCCGGCGGCCGGGGCACCACCGUCAAGUGCCUCGCCGACGCCGGUCUCUUCCUCGACGCUGCUGAUGUCUCCGGCGGCCGCAGCCUGAGAUCCUACUACUCGGACAUCGUGGCCAUGCAGGGCGUGGUUCCCAACCUGCCGCCGGCCUGCACCGCCCGGCUCGACGCCACCUCGUGCUUCUUCCCUCAGAAUGUCAUCGACGGCAUAAAGACCCCAAUCUUCCUGCUAAACGCAGCGUACGACGUCUGGCAGAUACAGGAGAGCCUGGCGCCCAACGGAGCUGACCCUGGCGGCGCCUGGCGAGCCUGCAAGUCCAACCGCUCCGCUUGCGACGCGUCCCAGAUGAAGUUACUGCAAGGGACCAGAUGGUCGCAUCCGUGAGAGGCUUCUCCGGUUCCGGAAGCAACGGCCUGUUCAUCAACUCCUGCUUCGCGCACUGCCAGUCCGAGCUGCCGGCCACCUGGAGCAACGCAGCAGCCGGCUCCCCCGCCAUUCAGAACAAGGGGAUCGCGAGGUCAGUUGGAGAUUGGUACUUCGGGCGAGCUCAAGUGAAGGCGAUCGACUGCCCCUACCCCUGUGAUGGAACAUGCCGCCACAUCAUAUGACAAGAUCCGAUCCUGUGUGGAUUUGUGGUUGUACGCCUCGUAUAUUCGUAUGCGUUCAACGGAGUGCGCAUCACGUUGAUUUGUGAGACACAUAAGAAAGCAUGCAAAAGGGUGGAGAGCCGGACAUGUACGACAGUUAGACAGCAGCUACCUAUAUAAAUUCACGUAAGAAAAAUGAGCUGAUGUGACUAUCAUUAAACGAGGAGAGAGUGUGUUGUUGUCUACUA